GUGCUCCCUUUGGCAGCACACAUACUAAAAUUGGAACGAUACAGAGAAGAUUAGCGGGGCCCCUGCACAGAAAUGACACACCAAUUCGUGAGGCGUUUUAUAUUAAA